GAUUAGUAAAAGUCGAACCAAAACACAAGAAAAUUCAUAAGAAAACUCUCAAGGUAAGUGGGCACCAUGUGGGAUUUUCUCUCAAUAGGUUGAGAGCAUCUCUCUCUAACUCACUUUUACUGAGAGAUCUUUUUAGAUUCUACGGGUGGUGGUGCAUGGCCAUUUUUAGUUGGUGAAGCAAUUUAUCUGGUUAAUUUCGUUAACGAACGAGACCUCAGUCUGCUAACUAGCUAUGCCGAUGUAACCUUUCGUGGCCAGCUUCUUAGAGGGACGAUGACCUUUUAGGCUGUUGAAGUUUGAGACAAUAACAUGUCUGUGAUGCCUUAGAUGUUCUGGGCCACAAGCGCACUACAUUAAUGUAUUCAACGAGGCGCCGACAGGUCCGAGUAAUCUUUGAAAUUUCAUCGUGAUGGGGAUAAAUCAUUGUAAUUCUUGGUCUUCAACGAGGAAUUCCUAGUAAGCGUAAGUCAUCAGUUCAUGUUGACUUCAUCCCUACCCUUUAUACACAAUGCCCGUCACUCCUACUGAUUGAAUGUUCUAGUGAAGUGUUCAUAUCGCAUCGACGUGGGCGGUCUGCUGCCCUCGACGUCACGAGAAGUCCACUGAACCUUAUCAUUUAGAGAAAGGAGAAGUCGUAACAAGGUUUUUGUAAGUGAAUCUAUGGAAG
rnacentral:rRNA from 1 species